rnacentral:lncRNA from 1 species
CGACUGACCCAUGUUCAACUGCUUUUCACAUGGAAUCCUUCUCCACUUUGGCCUUCAAAACGCUCAUUUGAAUAUUUACUACUACCACCAAGAUCUGCCCCUGCCAUGGUGCCACCUGGGCCCACCCCUAGGCUUGCAGGCACACCACAGUGGCCCCUUCUGCCAGUCCCAGCCAGUGUGUGUGUGCAUGACCCUGCGUGUGCAUGUCUGCAUGUUAAGAGGGUAGAUACAAUGUCAAGCAUUCUUAAAAAGAUUUUUGAAAGAUAUUUUUUAAAAGUCAAAGAACUGUAGAAUGUUUUUAAAGUAUGUAUUUGUGCAUUUUUUGAUGUGUUAAAUGGGACGAUAUCAGAAUCAUAUAAACAAAAUUGCGCCAGGCGCGGUGACUCGCCUGUAAUCCCAGCACUUUGGGAGGGCGAGGCGGGCGGAUCACAAUGUCAGGAGAUCGAGACAGUCCCGGCUGACACGGUGAAACCCCGUCUCUACUAAAAAUACAGAAAAAUUAGCCGGGCAUGUUGGUGGGCGCCUGUAGUCCCAGCUACUCGGGAGGCUGAGGCAGGAGAAUGGCAUGAACCCAGGAGGCGGAGCUUGCAGUGAGCAGAGAUCGUGCCAUUGCACUCCAGCCUGGAUGACAGAGCAAGACUCCGUCUCUAAAUAAAUAAAUAAAUAAAUAAAUAAAUAAAUAAAUAAAUAUAAAAAAUAAAUAAAAAUGCUAACAUUCCACAUCUCUGGAAAGGUCUAUAGAAUUCUGGGAGGUAAACUUUGUCUUCCAAACAUCUGUCCAUUAAUUGUUUGUUUACUUAUUUUUUUGAGACAGAUUCUCUGUCACCCAGGCUAGAGUGCAGUGGUGUGUUAAUGGCUCAUGGCAGCCUUGGUCUCCAGGGCAUAAGUGAUCCUCCUGCCUCAGCCUCCUGAGUAGCUGGAACUAUAGGUGUACAUCACCAUUCCUGGCUAUUUAUUAUUAUUAUUAUUAGUAGUAGUAGUAGUAGUAGUAGAAACAGGGUCUCAUUAUCUUGCCCAGGCUGGGCGUGAUACUCCUGAGCUCAAGCAAUCCUUCCAUCUCAGCCUCCCAAAGUGCUGGGAUUACAGGCAUGAGCUACUGCACCCGGUCUGUUCAUUCAUUGUUUUGUUGUUGUUGUUAUUGUUCUGUUUUUAUUUGUUUGUUUUUCUCACUAUUGAAGAUAGAAAUUUUUUAAAUUAAUUGUUAUUAGAAAAAUAGGCAUUUGCAUUAUCUGUGUUAAAGAAAGUUCCCCCAGAUAGUGUUCCAUGGAGCCAGUGCCUAGAAGACCACAUCUUCUAUCUUGUCCCCUUUACGUUUAAUACAGUGAUGAAACAAUCCACUAACAACGGGCAAGUCCUCAAUUUUCAGAGGUAUUUAUAACCGCACACAAGCACGGGAUUGAUUUUUCUGAUGCCAAUUUGCCUGUUAUUCCCCUCUCAGUUGGAUCUGUUUUCUUUUUUUCUUUUUUUUUUUUUUUUGGAGACGGAGUUUUGCUCUGUCACCCAGGCUAGAGUGCAAUGGUGUGAUCUUGGCUCACUGCAACCUCUACCUCCCGGGUUCCAGCAAUCCUCCUGCCUCAGCCUCCUGAGUAGCUGGGAUUACAGGCAUGCACCAACAAAACCCGACUAAUUUUUGUAUUAUUAGUAGAGACAGGGUUUCACCAUGUUGGCCAGGCUGGUCUCAAACUCCUGACCUUAGGUGAUCCGCCCGCUUUGGCCUCCCAAAGUGCUGGGAUUACAGGUGUGAGCCACCUCACCCAGCCAAAUCUGUUUUCUUUUUCUUUUUUCUUUUUUUUUUGGAGAUGGGGUCUCACUCUGUCGCCCAGGCUGGAGUGCAGUGGCGCGUGCAGUGGCGCAAUCUCGGCUCACUGCAACCUCUGCCUCCCAGGUUCAAGCGAUUCUCCUGCCUCAGCCUCCCACGCCUGCCACCAUGCCCGGCUAAUUUUUGUAUUUUUAGUAGAGACGGGGUUUCACUAUAUUGGCCAGACUAAUCUCGAACCUCUGUCCUUGUGAUCUGCCCACUUCGGCCCCCCAAAGUGCUGGGGUUACAGGCGUGAGCCACCGUGCCUGGCCUCUGUUUUCUUCUGUAGUUUCACUACCAUCCUUUGUGGUGAGUGGGGUGAGUGUUAGCCAAGGGUGGAACCUAGUUUUGUUUUGUUUCUCUCGCAUCUGAACAAGAUUUGGUCUCGAUUUCAGAAUGACCACGUUGCAGAGCAGGCCCCCCAAAUGUAAAACUAGGGGGAAGAGAAAUCACAAGUCCACUAAGGCUGGGCAGUGGUCUUAGGUUCAGAAUAUGGUGUCUUAAAUAUUCCUGCAGACCUUGGUCCUUUACUGUUGCAUCUGAGUGAGGCUCCUACGAUUGUUGCUACUGAUAAAAUAAAACGUACAUUUGAUGUAUAUAGUCAGAUUGCCCUACAGAAUGACUUUACAGAUUUGCUGUCCAGUCAGCAUGGUGUGAGAGUGCCUGAGACUCCAUCCCCUUCUCAAGGCCUGUGGUGUCACUGGGAAUAGAAGUUAUGGCUCUGAAAUUUAAACCCAACAGAAGCUUCCUAAGGCUGCUGUAACAAAAUCCCACAAACUGUGUGGCUUCAAACAAACAGAAGCUUAUUCUCUCACAAUUCUGGAGGCCUGCAGUCCAAGAUCAAGGAUGCCAAGACAGGAGGAUUGCUUGAUGCCAAGACAGGAGGAUUGCUUGAGGCCAAGUAUUCAAGACCAGCCUGGGCAACACAGACAUUGCAACAUCCCUGUCUUUACCAAAAAGGAAAAAAUUAGCCAGCCAUGGUGGCAUGCACCUAUGGGCCUAGUUACUCAAGAGGCUGACGUGGGAAGAUAGCUUGAGCCCAGGAGUUCAAGGUUACAGUGUCCAGCCUGGGUGACAGAAUAAGACCACGUCUCAAAAAACAAAGAAACAAACAAACCAGCCUGGGACCUCCUCCCUGCUUUGCUUCCUCUUCAGCAUGUGUGAUCUCUUUGCACAUGCCGAUUCCCCUUUCACAUUCCACCUUGAGCUGAAGCAGCCUGAGACCCUCACCAGAGGCCCAAUCUUGAACUUUCCA